rnacentral:misc_RNA from 1 species
CUUGUUCCGUGCUGCGACCCUCUGAUGCGGAAUCGGAAUUCAAACUGCCCCUUCCUGUCCCGCGCCUACAAGGCUCGGGGCGGACCUCGAGGCGGUGCGAGUGCCCCAAGCACGCCCUCGGGGCUGCUAUGGAUCACUCGUUCCCGCUCGUGCCUUCGGAUGCGGAACGCUAUGCGAUGCGAGGGGCGCACACGGAGCCCCCCCCAUGACCCUAAUAUAAGAGCAAAACUCUGCUCCCCGAGAAUGACCGCCGCGCGCCUCUCCCCCAUCCUACCGUUCGCUCGGCGAUGGGAGCUAGCUCGCCGCGGUGCCAUCGAGGGCUGCUACCUGGUUGAUCCUGCCAGU